AAUGAACGCUGGCGGCGUGCUUAACACAUGCAAGUCGUACGAGAAAUCCUUAGCUUGCUAAGGAGAGUAAAGUGGCGCACGGGUGAGUAACGCGUGGGUAAUCUACCCUCGAGUUCGGAAUAACUUCGCGAAAGCGGGGCUAAUACCGGAUAAUAUUGAUUAAUCUUCGGAUGUUUUGAUCAAAGGUGGCCUCUACAUGUAAGCUUCCACUUGAGGAUGAGCUCGCGUAUCAUUAGCUUGUUGGUAGGGUAAUGGCCUACCAAGGCGACGAUGGUUAGCUGGUCUGAGAGGAUGAUCAGCCACACUGGAACUGACACACGGUCCAG
rnacentral:rRNA from 1 species